AUGGCCCUCUAUUCGCAGUAUGGAGCUUUAGUCCCUCCUGAAGACGACAACAAGAAGAAAGGUGCCAGAAACUCAGCUGAGAAAACCAAAGACCCAGUGAACAAAUCUGGGGCAAGGCCAAAAAGAAGAAGUGGUCCAAAGGCAAAGUUCGGGACAAGCUCAACAACCUAGUCUCGUUUGACAAAGCUACAUAUGACAAACUCUGGAAGGAAGUUCCCAGCUAUAAGCUUAUCACCCCAGCUGUGGUCUCUGAGAGACUGAAGAUUCGAGGUUCCCUGGCCAGGGCAGCCCUUCAGGAGCUCCUUAGUAAAGGACUUAUCAAACUGGCUUCAAAGCACAGAGUUCAGGAAAUUUACACCAGAAAUACCAAGGGUGGAGAUGCCCCAGCUGCUGGUGAAGAUGCAUGAACAGGGUCCAAUCAACCAUGUAUUUUGAAAAAUAAAACUUUAUUGAA